GAACACGUUGAUUAAGCACUGACCUCUUUCUUCUUGGGAUGUGAGAGUUCCAAAAACUUGGUUGGACUAACCCUGCAAAGUAUGCGUAUUGGAUCAGCACAAUUGGUUGGAUAGAGGAAUCUAGUGAUAUAAGUGAUUUGUAUGGAAAAAGUGAGUGAUUGGAUGGUAACAUUGAGCAGAGUAUUGAGAAUGCUUGGAUUAUGAUGACGAAAGAGAUGAAUGGAAUAUUACACUCUUGGAGAACUUUAAUGAGGUCCAAGGCCCCUAGGAUACUAACUCAAACCAAUGCAAAUAGAUGGAUGAAGAUUUUUGAAGUUAUCAGAGGAUGAUCUUGCUGAUCCUGACCCAGAUCCUGACCCAGCUCCAUUGUUUGUAUCAUCCUCUAAGCCAGUUGAAUGUAUUGCAAUCUUUGCUCCAUAUAUUGGCUUUCUGCGAUCAUGGACUUCAAUGGGGAGAGGU